AUUGAACGCUGGCGGCAGGCCUAACACAUGCAAGUCGAGCGGGAACUUCGGUUCUAGCGGCGGACGGGUGAGUAAUGCGUAGGAAGCUACCCGACAGAGGGGGAUACCAGUUGGAAACGACUGUUAAUACCGCAUAAUGUCUACGGACCAAAGUGUGGGACCUUCGGGCCACAUGCUGUCGGAUGCGCCUACGUGGGAUUAGCUAGUUGGUGAGCUAAUGGCUCACCACGGCGACGAUCCCUAGCUGGUUUGAGAGGAUGAUCAGCCACACUGGAACUGAGACACGGUACAGACUCCUACGGGAGGCAGCAGUGGGGAAUAUUGGACAAUGGGCGCAAGCCUGAUCCAGCCAUGCCGCGUGUGUGAAGAAGGCCUUCGGGUUGUAAAGCACUUUCAGUAGGGAGGAAGAGUUGAGUGUUAAUAGUACUCAGCUUUGACGUUACCUACAGAAGAAGCACCGGCUAACUCUGUGCCAGCCGCCGCAGUAAAAC
rnacentral:rRNA from 1 species